rnacentral:misc_RNA from 1 species
GAAAUGCGAUAAGUAAUGUGAAUUGCAGAAUUCAGUGAAUCAUCGAAUCUUUGAACGCACAUUGCGCCCGCCAGUAUUCUGGCGGGCAUGCCUGUUCGAGCGUCAUUUCAACCAUCAAGCCCCCGGCUUGUGUUGGGGACCUGCGGCUGCCCGCAGGCCCUGAAAACCAGUGGCGGGCUCGCUGUCACACCGAGCGUAGUAGCAACAUCUCGCUCAGGGCGUGCUGCGGGUUCCGGCCGUUAAAGGCCUUUUACACCCAAGGUUGACCUCGGAUCAGGUAGGAAGACCCGCUGAACUUAAGC